rnacentral:misc_RNA from 1 species
AAGUCGUAACAAGGUUUCCGUAGGUGAACCUGCGGAAGGAUCAUUACAGAGUAUCUUGCCCUUACGGGUAGAUCUCCACCCUGUGUUAUUGUACCUUUGUUGCUUUGCCGGGUUCGCCCGGCAAAGGACCCCAAACUCUGUAUUAUAUGUCGUCUGAGUACUAUAUAAAUAGUUAAAACUUUCAACAACGGAUCUCUUGGUUCUG